AGCCCUCUUCACUGCUAUUUUACUUUCUUCAGUCCCAUCCUCCAACAUCAGUUUUGGUUUGAAAAUACUAAAUAGAGAAUUUGUUUAAAUUUGUAGGCUUUAAAUUGAUACAAUUGUCCCUUUAAGCUGCAUGUUUGUACUGAAUAAGAUAUAACUGCUAGUCAUUUAGAAACCAGCUCGCUUCAGGCUUGCUAUGGCAUAAGCACCACAUUUAAGUAACUAACACCAUCAUAACUGUUGAUAGCCUACUUUGUAAUUUAUGAAAUAAUCUUUUAUAGUAAAGGCAUGAAAAUGGCAUAUGUAGGAUCUAAUACUAUGCCCAGUUUGAGGUGUAGCAGUCUUAGGAUAUGUCUACAGAUAAAGAGAACUAUUAGAAUUCUCUGCGGUUAUUUUUUUAAAAGCUGAGAUAGUCAGGGCAGGAUUGCUUGGCCUAUUGGAACACCCUUGAAAGACCACAGCAUUGUGCUUGAGUACUGUUGGCUCAGGCCUUAGAGUGUUGGAGAUUGAACCCAGGGGGUCUGCAUAUGCUAGAAAAGAUCCAGCCACUGAAAGACCACACCCCGUUCCCUGGCCUAUUUAAGGCCUAUCUUAACAGUUUCUGUUGCUGCAGUGAAGCACCAUGGCCACAAGCAACUUCACUAUACUUUACAGAUCUAUCAUGUAGGUAAAUCGGGGCAGGAACUGAAGCACAGGCCCUGGCAAAGUGCUGCUGCUUACUGGCUUGCUCAUGGCUUGCCCCGCCUACUUUCUUCUACAACUCAAGACCACCUGCCCAAAGAUGGCACAGCUCACAGUGAGCUGGCCCUCCCACAUCAAUCAAUAUGCCCUACAGGCCAGUGGGGUGGGGGGUGGCUGGGGAGGGAGCAUUUUCUCAGGUGUGUUUCCCUCUUCCCAGAUGAACUAGGUUGUAUCAAUUUGACAAAAAAAAACUAACCAGUACACCAUUGUCUCUUGGAGAAUUUUUCUCUCUGGAUGUGGUGGUAUAAGUCUGAUCCCAGCAGCAGCAGGUGAACCUCCUGAGUUCUCAGCCAGCCAGAACUACAUAAAGGGAUCCUCUCUAAAAAACAACUUCAAAAUCAAAGUUCUUGUUUGGUAAAUCAUUUGGGGGGCUAUAAUCUUUUCUAUGUAAUCCAUCCAUUUAAAAGUACAAACAGUUGUGUGUUUCUUAAGAAUAGUUAAGAGUUGUACAACCUUUACCACAGACAGUUGGAAGAUAUUUUAUGUCCCAGUCCCUGUCCAAAGGGCCCCUCAUUGAUCUUUCACCACACUGAAACAGAUUGUCUAAAAAGAAGUCCUGCUUUUGCUCAGUAUCGUACCCUUGGAAUAAAGCCAGGGUUUGUUUCGAGUGUACGAGGCUUGAAGCAUUUCCUCUGCUUGCUUUGCUAGCCUAGUUUCAUCUCUAAAGUAUGUUGGCUCACAACAUCAAAUGUUUUAUUGGCCUUAUUUUUUUCAUAUAAUUGUUUUGUUCAUUUGGGUUUUUUGUUGUUGUUGUUGUUGUUUAAGUCUUAUAAAAUCAGCCAAAG
rnacentral:lncRNA from 1 species